AUUGAACGCUGGCGGCAGGCCUAACACAUGCAAGUCGAGCGGAGCGGCGGGCGGGUGAGUAAUGCCUAGGAAUCUGCCUGGUAGUGGGGGCUAACGUCCGUACACGGGCGCUAAUCUCGCAUACUAUCAGAUGAGCCUAGGUCGGAUUAGCUAGUUGGUGGGGUAAAGGCCUACCAAGGCGACGAUCCGUAACUGAUCUGAGAGGAUGAUCAGGCACACUGGAACUGAGACAAGGUCCAGACUCCUACGGGAGGCAGCAGUGGGGAAUAUUGGACAAUGGGCGAAAGCCUGAUCCAGCCAUGCCGCGUGUGUGAAGAAGGUCUUCGGAUUGUAAAGCACUUUAAGUUGGGAGGCGUUACCAACAGAAUAAGCACCGGCUAACUCCGUGCCAGCAGCCGCGGUAAUAC
rnacentral:rRNA from 1 species